CCCAAAAAAGGUGAAAAAAUAAGUUCACUAAAAAAAAUACUCGGUAAGUUAAUUAAUAGAGCGGCAAAGCUGGUUGCUGCCGACGAAACAAAGAUGGCGCCGCCACACAAGAGGCCAAAAUCGGAAAAACCAAUAGCAGUGAGUUGUUCGUCGGAGAAGACGAUGAUGAUCAAAAGGUGUCGAAGAAGCAGAAAAACAAAAAGAACGAAAUCCAUGACACCACCAGUGCUAUCCCCAUCAUACUCGACGUCCAAGACCUUGUUCAAAAGGGUAUCUUUUUGGGCAAUUAUGAGGGUUUUGUCAUUAGAUGCUAUAGCAAGAGAAAAUUGAUGAUUUAUGAUCAACCGGACCUAAUCCGUUUGGGCCUUAUUACCUGGAAGGGGAAAAUGUAACUGGAUGGCAUCUUGAAGCUGCUGAGUUUGCCUUCGACUGGUACAAAAAAAACUGCCCUGGGGGUUCAAGAAAGGAAUGGAUACAGGAGAAGACUAAGAUGAAUAUUGCCUAUUCGUUCUGCUACGUGUCGUUUAUAGUGGUCGAUGAAGAUACCAAGGAAGAGACUAAAAUUCAGGCAAUGGUUUUGGCACCUCCCCUUUAUAGGAAUGAGUGGCAGAUUGGCAUGGUUAGGGAUGCUACACAGGAACAAGUCCUUGCUAUUAUCAAGCUUAAACAAGAUACUACUGAAGCUAUUAUUGAUAAAAAUUUCUUUAAUGCGUUGAAGUUAAUCGGGAAGAAAGUCUUGGUGAUGACCUGAGGCAGAUAUGAAUGUCUUAACUAGACGGGUUUUAAAUAAUGUAUAUAGGGCUUCUGAUGCUGGUUUAAAGCUUUAGGUGUGUGACUAGGCUUAACAUAUUCAUACGUAAUUUGCUCUCUAAAUUUUAUGUGCUGGUAACUGGUAAGGUACUGUAACUCUUACCAUGCAUGUACAAUAUUUUAAAGAGCUUGACUUGUCUUUCUCUGCAUACAUGAAGCAGAACUUUGGUAGCUUAUUCACCUCCAAUAUAUUCAUUGUUUCUGAACA